rnacentral:misc_RNA from 1 species
CGUAGGUGAACCUGCGGAAGGAUCAUUAGUGAAUUGAAUAUGUUAGCGGACCUCUUCGGAGUCCCUAGCAUCAAAUCAUAUCCAUAACACCUGUGAACAGUAAGGCUGUCUUGAAAACGAAAGUGAUUAGAGCGCCUGCCCAUUUUAUACAAACAUUAAAGUAACAAACGUAGUCUUAUUAUAAUCUAAUAAAACUUUCAACAACGGAUCUCUUGGCUCUC